rnacentral:lncRNA from 1 species
CGAGAUUGUGCAUUGCACUCCAGCCUGAGCAACAGGAGCGAAACUCUGUCUCAAAAAAACAAAAAACAAAAAAACAAAAAAACAAGGUGGCACAGCUGGCUUGAGCAACUGAACUGGAAACAAGAUGCAGGACCCCAACGCAGACACUGAGUGGAAUGACAUCUUAACGCAAAAAGGGUAUCUUACCCCCCAAGGAAAGUCUGAAAGAAUUGGAAGAGGAGGCAGAAGAGGAGCAGCGCAUCCUCCAGCAGUCAGUGGUGAAAACAUAUGAAGAUAUGACUUUGGAAGAGCUGGAGGAUCAUGAAGACGAGUUUAAUGAGGAGGAUGAAUGUGCUAUUGAAAUGUGCAGACAGCAGAGACUGGCUGAGUGGAAAGCAACUAAACUGAAGAAUAAAUUUUGAGAAGUUUUGGAGAUCUCAGGGAAGGAUUAUGUUCAAGAAGUUACCAAAGCUGGUGAGGGCUUGUGGGUCAUCUUGCACCUUUACAAACAAGGAAUUCCCCUCUGUGCCCUGAUAAAUCAGAACCUCAGUGGACUUGCCAGGAAGUUUCCUGAUGUCAAAUUUAUCAAAGCCAUUUCAACAACCUGCAUACCCAAUUAUCCUGAUAGGAAUCUGCCCCGAUAUUUGUUUACCUGGAAGGAGAUAUCAAGGCUCAGUUUAUUGGUCCUCUGGUGUUUGGUGGCAUGAACCUGACAAGAGAUGAGUUGGAAUGGAAACUGUCUGAAUCUGGAGCAAUUAUGAUGGACCUGGAGGAAAACCCUAAGAAGCCGAUUGAAGAUGUAUUGCUGUCAUCAGUGUGGCACUCUGUCCUCAUGAGGAGGGACAGCGAUUCUGAGGGUGACUGAGGCUACAGCUGCUAUCACAUGCCGAACUUUCUUGUGACAAAUGUCUGGAUUUUUUAAAAAAGGAAAAAGCAAGAAUGAAUCCUUCUGGUUUUUAGUUUUGUAUAAAUUAUGUUUCAAAUCUUUACAUUUUGGAAAUAAUCAUUGCUGGAAAUUCUGUUAAAUAUUUUGGAACUUUUUUUUAAAUUAUAGUAUUUCCUCUAAAAAAAUUAAAACCAGCCAUUAGUAAAAAA